CAGUGUGGUGUUGGUGUCG
rnacentral:siRNA from 1 species